UUCUCGGAGAUGGAUGAUCCCGCGUUGUAUUAUCUAUUUGGUGGGGCAAUGGCCUCCUAAGGCAACGAUCAUUAGCUGGGCUGACAGGAUGAUCAUCCACCCCGGGACUGCUCAACCGCCCAGACUCCUACGGGAAGCAGCAGUGGGGAAUAUUGGACAAUGGGCGCAAGCCUGAUCCAGCCAUGCCCCGUGAGUGACGAAGGCCCUAGGGUUGUAAAGCUCUUUCAACGGUGAAAAUAAUGACGGUAACCGUAAAAGAAACCCCGGUUAAAUUCUUGCAACCACCCGCGCUAUUACAAAAGGGGCUAGCGUUGUUCGAAAUAUCUGGGCGCAACCCCCACGUAGGCGGAUGUUUUAUUUUGGGGUAAAAUCCCGGGGAUCAACCCUGGAACUGGCUUUUAUACGGGCAUUCCCAAUUCCCAGAGAGGUCAGUGGAAUUCCGAGUGUACAGGUGAAAUUCUUAGAUAUUCGCAGGAACACCAGUGGCGAAGGCGGCUCACUGGCUCGGUACUGACGCUGAGGUGCAAAUAAAUGUGGAGCAAGCAGGAUUAUAUACCUUGAUAG
rnacentral:rRNA from 1 species